CGCAGGUGGUCUAUUAAGUCUGAUGUGAAAGCCUUCGGCUUAACCGUAGUAGUUCAUUGGAAACUGGUUGACUUGAGUGCAGAAGAGGAGAGUGGAACUCCAUGUGUAGCGGUGAAAUGCGUAGAUAUAUGGAGGAACACCAGUGGCGAAGGCGGCUCUCUGGUCUGUAACUGACGCUGAGGUUCGAAAGCGUGGGUAGCAAACAGG
rnacentral:rRNA from 1 species